CUGACUCAUUUCCGGCAGUUUCCCGCGCCCUGGCGGGUUCCCGUCAGUCUCCUGCUCCGGCCGGCACGCUGUUCCCACGCGGACUCAAAGGAGACUUGGCAGAGAUAAGUGAAUGUCCCAGGAAUUCCGUGCACAGAAAGAAAAAAAAAAAAAAAAAAAAAAAAAGGUCAGGACCGAACAUGUGAGUCCUCUGCAAUCAAGACUUUCAGGACACUUAUACGUCCUCCUCGUUAGUAUAGUGUCUCCACGAAGACAUUCAGAGUUGCCUGCGGUGGAGCUGCGAAGAAAAUGAAACGGCUCAAAAUAAUUUUAAGAACGAGUAGCGGAAACUCUAAGCACCUCCAAUUAAGGGCAUCUAUGUUUGACGCUGGACACUGCAUCGCUUCCAUAGUGGGUGAUGUCUUAGGGUGCUGUGCCCCCCAGUCCCCUCCCUUCACCUGUACGUUUAGGAUAACAAGGUCGACCUCAUGACUCUUGGGGAGAUAUUAAUAAACGAGUCAAUGGGGAACUGGUCAGCAGUCUAUAGGACAAUAAUACUUGAAAUUAUCUUUUUCUUGUUGGGCAAAAUUUGCUUGAAUUGCUGUGGACAAAUGCCAUUUGCAUUGCUAUCAAUUAUCUACAAGUCAGCUUUUACCAUACAAAACUCUGGAAUAGUUUAGUAAAUAGAAAUUCAGUUAAAGGUGCACACUUUGAACCAAUUUCCCAAUGCCUAUUAGACAAUGUCCCUCACUUCAUGGAAAGGACACCCAGCACUUUUCUGUGGUCCAUCUGUAAGACACACGCUUUUUUCUGACACAGGUGAACCUUUACAGAAGUUGUGAUAUAGGUUUCAAACUGAGUAAAUAUGGAAGCAUUAGCAGAGAUAGGUGUGGUAAGCCAGUAUCUCUCACACUUUAAGUGUUUCAGGAUCACUUGGGUGUUUUGUCAAACGCACAUUCUCCUCCAGCAGAGAGAUGUUGGUUGUACAGGAACCAACCACCCUUGGGAAAACUCUCAAUGUACGUCAGAAUGCUGCUGUACAUUAGAGUCACCUAGAAGCUUCUAAAAUACCUGACGGAGGGUGGCAUCCCAUGCCAAGUAAAUUAGGAGGUCUGGAGGUGGAACCAGCCUCCAACAGGUGUUGAAAAUUCCCAGGUGAUCUCAAUCAUGAUCUCUGUCCUUGGUUAUUCUGAUUAUGUUAUUAACAUAUUCAAAUGUUUAUUGUAUUUAAUAUAAAAUCUAAACUAUUUGUAUAGCAUAUUUGACAGCCCCCCCGCCAGUGAUCUAGCCUAGAUCAUCAUUUACCUACCUACUCAUCAUAUAACAACAAAAAUAACUUCGUGGUUCUCCUCCAAAUCAUAUAGUCAUCACAGAAUGCCAAAGGGCGCAGUGGGGAUGGCGUGUUUUAUUUCCGUUCCGCUUUGCCUUUAGACACUUUAGGUGGUACAUGAGGGGUAACAGAGAGGAAAGCAAAGAAGAGAGAAGAG